CGAUGCUGCGUUGGCUGCAUUCGCAAAGUCAGUCACAUACUUCUGUAUGCUCCUUCCUUUCCUUCAUUUGCCGCCUUGCCUCAGCGUAAAAUCUUUCGUUCCCGAAAAUCCGGAAUCACUGCUGAAAGCAUCUAAGCACGAAACUUGCCCCGAGAUGAGUUCUCCCUGAGACUUAGAGUCUCCUGAAGGAACGUUGAAGACGACGACGUUGAUAGGCCGGGUGUGUAAGCGCAGCGAUGCGUUGAG
rnacentral:rRNA from 1 species